AUAUCCAGCACGGUUCUAUUACUUUUAGAGGUUGAUUUUACCUGCCAGGUACCAUGAGUGCAUGGCAAGGCUGCCGAAGGAAAAGAUAUUGGCAAGAGAAGACAAGCCAUGGAUCAUCCCAAAUUUUUUGUUCAAUGCAGCGAGAGCAGGAUUUGUUUUAGCCACUUGAAUAUUCUUCGACCAUCCUACUUCCUCGCCAAUGCUAAGAUCUUUUUCAAUCUUGUGUCGCUUCUUCAUCAUCUCCACGGUCAUAGGGGUGAACACGAUGAGGUUCGACAAGUUGAAGCCGAGAGAGGCAAGGAGAAACCCCAGCUGAUACCGCUCAAUUGACGAAGCUGAGCGCCAAGGAUGAAGAUAAGCAAAAGCCGCCACCGAGACAGCGGCACA
rnacentral:misc_RNA from 1 species